CCUGCUGCGGCCCUCCUGCCCUCCAGGACAGCCUGUGCUGGACCCUCCCGUGCACCCGUGGGAGACACGGGUCCCACCUGACUCCUCCAUCAGGCCAGAGCAGAAACACUCCAGCCAUGACACACACCCUGAAAGCACAGCCAAGCAGGGAGCAGAGCAGGACCCCGCAGGGGCCAAGGCGUGUUCCAGAUGGAGUUAGAGGAGGAACCAAGGCCCUGGGGCCGAUGCCACAGUGAUUACAUGUCAGCAUGGGAUCGAUGCCCUGCUCCUGGGCUGUGCCCCAACCAGCCAGCCUCCAGACACAGCCCAGCUCGGCCAAGUUUGGAUGGCAGUUAAACUCAAUAAAUAAAUUACCGAAGAACGUGCAAAACUCUGCUGAAGAGCCACAGCCAAGUGUAUGCUCACGCGAGCAAUGACAGCGGUGUGGGACUGCCACCUGAGAACCGGCGAUCACAAGACACUUUUGGUUGUAGCGCAGCUCCAUCUCAGAGAGGGGAAGAUGAGAAAAAAAUGUGUCUUCCUGAGGCUGGAGAAGGGAGGAACUGGGAAUGACUGCUUCCUACGCGCGGGGUUUCUUUUUGGGGUGAUGAAAAUGUUCUGGAACUAGAUAAUGGUGAUGACUGCACACUUGUGAAUGCACUAAAUGCCACUGGAUUGUACACUUUAAAAUCGUUAAAAUGGUACAUUUUAUGUUAUGUGUAUUUACCACAAUAAAAAAAAGAAUGUCUUAGAUUUGAUGAAAAUGGUGGCUGCUUUUAUUUAAACAUUACUAGUUCAAGCACUGCUCCAAGUACGUUACAUCCAUAAUCGAAU
rnacentral:lncRNA from 1 species